rnacentral:rRNA from 1 species
AGUGAACGCUGGCGGCAGGCCUAACACAUGCAAGUCGAACGGCCGCACAGUAAGCUUCCGCCCCUACCGUUGGCGACUGGCGGACGGGUGAGACAUACAUCGGCAUCUUCUUUUUCGUGGAUGAUUACGUAGGGACACUGACGCUACCACCGCAUACGAUCUACGGGUUAAAUCAGUGGAUAUUCGGACCUUGCGUGAUUCAUUGAGCUGAUGCCGGAUUAGCUAGUUGGUGUGGUAAGGGCCCACCAAGGCAACGAUACGUAGCUGGUCUGAGAGGAUGAUCGGCCACACUGGAACUGAGACACGGUCCAGACUCCUACGGGAGGCAGCAGUGGGGAAUAUUCGACAAAGGGCGCAAGCCUGAUGCAGCCAUGCCGCGUGGGUGAAGAAGGCCUUCGGAUUGUAAAGCCCUUUUAUUGGGAAAGAAAAGAUGUGGAAGUAUACACCGCUGUUCUGACGGUACCUAAACAGUAAGCACCGGCUAACUUCGUG